rnacentral:miRNA from 1 species
ACCCUGUAGAAGCGUGUUUAUC